UCGAGCGAGAGGAGGUAGCAAUACCUUAGUAAAGCGGCGCACGGGUGAGUAACACGUGGAUAACCUGCCUCGAAGUGGGGAAUAACCCCGGGAAACCGGAGCUAAUACCGCAUAAUCUGACGAAGUUUGCGGAUUUUGUCAGCAAAGGAGCAAUUCGCUUUGAGAGGGGUCCGCGGCUGAUUAGCUAGUUGGUGAGGUAAUGGCUCACCAAGGCCACGAUCAGUAGCCGGUCUGAGAGGACGGUCGGCCACACUGGAACUGAGACACGGUCCAGACUCCUACGGGAGGCAGCAGUGGGGAAUUUUUCGCAAUGGGGGCAACCCUGACGAAGCAACGCCGCGUGGGUGAUGAAGUAUUUCGGUACGUAAAACCCUUUCGACGGGGACGAAACCGCAAGGUUGACGGUACCCGUAGAAGAAGCCCCGGCUAACUCCGUGCCAGCAGCCGCGGUAAUACGGGGGGGGCAAGCGUUGUUCGGAAUUACUGGGCGUAAAGGGCGCGUAGGCGGUUUGCUAAGUUGGAUGUGAAAACUCUGGGCUUAACCCAGUGCCUGCAUCCAAAACUGGCAAACUUGAGUACUGGAGGGGAAAGCGGAAUUCCUGGUGUAGCGGUGAAAUGCGUAGAUAUCAGGAGGAACACCGGUGGCGAAGGCGGCUUUCUGGACAGUAACUGACGCUGAGGCGCGAAAGCUAGGGGAGCAAACAGGAUUAGAUACCCUGGUAGUCCUAGCCCUAAACGAUGGAUACUUGGUGUGAGGGGGAUUGAAUCCCUUCGUGCCGUAGCUAACGCAAUAAGUAUCCCGCCUGGGGAGUAC
rnacentral:rRNA from 1 species